CAAUCAACCAUGGUUGUUUUUUUUUCUUCUUCUUCUUCUCGGAAUUCAACAUUUUGGGGCUGCCCUGAGCAAACAGACAUGAUGUAUGCAGCCACACCUUGGCACUACCUAUGGCAGGCCUCCAGUAUGAGUAUGAUGUUCCAACCUCAGCAGCAUAAGAGAGACCACAUCAUGAAGGGAGUCACGACUUGGCACAAGAGCCACCCAAGGUCAUGGGACAGAAAUGAGAAAAACUGGUAUCUCUGGAGGGCAGCUGAGAAGGCAAAAUCAGGGCAUCAGUGACCUUUCUUUCCAAUCUAGCCUCUUCCCACAAAGCAAAUAGCAAGUCUUGUGUGUUGUUUAUGGCCACUCCCUGUUCCCCUGCUGGCCGUUUAACUCAAACUCACUCCCAUAUGGGCUAUUCCCUUUCCAGUUCAGAAAACCGACAGGAAUGUGGAAGUCCUCAGUGGUCCAGAGGUCAUCACUGAGGAAUUGUGUGUCUGACCUGUUGCUCCUCACUCCUUUGUGCUCACUUUGUUCUUGGUCACAUCGCAGUUUGCAGGGGACUGUCACCUACCCUGAUUCAUACCUGGGUUGGCUGCGUGUCUGGACCCCUGGCCUAGUCCUUUUAUCCUGAGGUUAAAUCUACUUCUGAUAUUUCCAAAAUCUGUUAAGGCAAGCUCCAUUGUUGUAUGGCCCAGAUGUGCCCCUGAGACCCCUACUCCCUCCACCUCUGCCGGAUGGACCAGAUCUCUUUAAAUUUAACCCAGAUUACAAUAAAGUUUACUUAAACCCUAAAUUGGGAGCAUUCCUGCAGGGCACAAAAUCUUCUGUGCUGGUAAAUUUUCUCUAGCCAAAUGCCUAGUUUUAUUUCCUCCUACUUAGUAAUAGCUUCCAUCCUGCAAGCUUAGAGUCCAGGCAGCACCACUUAGAAUUGACCGUUUGGGACAACAGUGAGAUGGCGUUUCCCAUCCGACAGACAGAGCCGAGCCUCGGGGACCCCAGGUGCUGGUCAUUUCCCAGAGGCAGGCAGUGGCCAGUUGUUCCUAAGCGGCAGAAGCCAGACACAGGUGUUAAGUAUGAGACAAGGAUUUCGUUUUGGGAAACAGGAUUAUCCCUCAACAUGGCUUUAGUGAGAAGAAGAGCAAUGCUGCUAAUAUUAGGAACAAGGAAGCACGUCAAAUCCCCGCGUACAGCCUGAGGAAGUCAAGGAGAGAUACAUGGCUUGAGGAGCAAGAAAAGACUCAAAGAAUAACCCCUGCAAGUAGCAGAUCCGGGGUCCACGUGAACAAGGAGGUGCCCGGGAGAGGCUGAGUGAGGGAUGCUGCUUUGAGAGGAUGCCAAGGUUAACUGGGAAGCUUGUAGUUUUUAUGAGCUCCAGAAUAUUAUGGAUAUGGUCACACAAAGGUUCCAAAGAGCUCACCCACCCGUCAUCAGGGCCUGCGUGUUUUGAAGGGCUUCCCCCGCUGGUCUGUUCAAUUUAUGGCAUCAUAGCUGUGAAUUAAGUCCAGGCUUCAGGACACCUGCUUUUCACCUUAUGAUGCAGGAGAUCCAAUGAUACUCAAAUUAUCUGUGGGAAAUAAGAAUGCUGUAUGGGGCACCUGGCCAGAACCUGCAGGAGAAUCGCAGUGCAAACUUCAAGGAUUUUGGAGAAAACCCAUACCUUUUUUGGCAGACAGGGACUUGGAAGAAAUAAGAAUGGAAGAUUGGUGAGAAGGAGCUCUUGGGAAGAAGUAUGUGAAUGGACCUCUCUGAAUGAGCACAGACUGUGAAGAGAGUUUUUUCCUUUGUAAAAUGCUGGAUUAUCCUCCUCUUACUUUUGACAAACAUACCUAUUUAAUGCUGUUACCGAAAUGAAAUACGUAAGUGUUGGAAAUAAUCAGAAACUGCAGACACAAGAGAAGCUCUGAAAAUUGAGUAAAAGUUACUCUUUUAUAAGAGAUAUUUACAUUUAUAAGGGAAAUCUCCAUCUCUAAGAGUAUCUCCCUCUCAAUACCAGAAAGAGGAGGUUGACCAAAUCUCUAGUUCUUAUCAAUGAAGAAAGCAAGGACUUAAAUCUGAAUAAGAGCCUUACUCCUGUUUAUUACAACUUCUUGAUCUUUGACUUGUUUGAGGAAUCGUAUGAGAUGGAAGCAACGCUGUGCUGGUCCUGGGCCUAGCCCUUAAGAAUGUUGGCUGUUUCAAUUUCUGCAAUCUUGGAAGUCAAGCUGCAUGUGAGAAGUCUGAUAGCACUGUGCCGUAAGGGAUCCUAAGCUAGCCGUGUGAAGAAUCCAGGUGGAGAGAGAAAGAUGACGGGUCCACUACAAACUGUAUCAUCCUUUCCAGCUGAGGCACCAGACUUGGGAAUGAAAAAGGCCUCUUGAAUGAUCCAGCCCCAGGAGGUACCAUGUAGAACAGACCAGCUGCACAGCUGGGCCUGCCUCAGAUUGCAGAAUCAUGAGAAAUAAUAAAUUGUGCUUAUAAAAAAAAUGAACUACAGUUUUGGGUUUGUUUCUCACAUGUAAACCUCACAUUUUGGGUUUGUUUCUCUAGUGAUAGAUAACUGGAAUACAAAUUAGUACCUAGAAGUGGGACACUGCCAUGACAAAAACCUGAAACAUAUGGUAUUAGUUUGGGGACCAGACUGAGGCCUGACGGGAAGCAAAGAGACAAUUUGUGGACCUUGGAAGGGAAGAAAUUCUAGAGAGUGAAGCUGUGCUAUGUAUUCUUAAAACAAUUAGUCAGACGGUCACCUUCCGUGACAUGGAAAAUAAAAAUUGGACCUAACGAAGUUGUGGAUGUGAAUACAUAUAUUUCCAGGCAGACUUUGGCAACUAAAUUUGGCUUCCUUAAGCUGUCUAUGACAGUGUAUUGCAAGAGAAAGAUGAAAUAAAGAAGGAAUACUUUGGUAUUCAAGGAGACUAAACAAGAAUUUUUCUGGGUUACAUUCCCAGCUCUUCCAGAAAGCAAAAGAUUUUCAGAGUAAAAAUGACCUCAGGGCAAAG
ensembl:lncRNA